rnacentral:rRNA from 1 species
ACGAACGCUGGCGGCGCGCCUAACACAUGCAAGUCGAACGGAGCUGAGAGAAGCUUGCUUUUCUUAGCUUAGUGGCGAACGGGUGAGUAACGCGUGAGUAACCUGCCCUGGAGUGGGGGACAACAGUUGGAAACGACUGCUAAUACCGCAUAAGCCCACGGUCCGGCAUCGGAUUGAGGGAAAAGGAUUUAUUCGCUUCAGGAUGGACUCGCGUCCAAUUAGCUAGUUGGUGAGGUAACGGCCCACCAAGGCGACGAUUGGUAGCCGGACUGAGAGGUUGAACGGCCACAUUGGGACUGAGACACGGCCCAGACUCCUACGGGAGGCAGCAGUGGGGGAUAUUGCACAAUGGGGGAAACCCUGAUGCAGCGACGCCGCGUGGAGGAAGAAGGUUUUCGGAUUGUAAACUCCUGUCGUUAGGGACGAUAAUGACGGUACCUAACAAGAAAGCACCGGCUAACUACGUGCCAGCAGCCGCGGUAAAACGUAGGGUGCAAGCGUUGUCCGGAAUUACUGGGUGUAAAGGGAGCGCAGGCGGACCGGCAAGUUGGAAGUGAAAACUAUGGGCUCAACCCAUAAAUUGCUUUCAAAACUGCUGGCCUUGAGUAGUGCAGAGGUAGGUGGAAUUCCCGGUGUAGCGGUGGAAUGCGUAGAUAUCGGGAGGAACACCAGUGGCGAAGGCGACCUACUGGGCACCAACUGACGCUGAGGCUCGAAAGCAUGGGUAGCAAACAGGAUUAGAUACCCUGGUAGUCCAUGCCGUAAACGAUGAUUACUAGGUGUUGGAGGAUUGACCCCUUCAGUGCCGCAGUUAACACAAUAAGUAAUCCACCUGGGGAGUACGACCGCAAGGUUGAAACUCAAAGGAAUUGACGGGGGCCCGCACAAGCAGUGGAGUAUGUGGUUUAAUUCGAAGCAACGCGAAGAACCUUACCAGGUCUUGACAUCCGAUGCAUAGCACAGAGAUGUGUGAAGUCCUUCGGGACAUCGAGACAGGUGGUGCAUGGUUGUCGUCAGCUCGUGUCGUGAGAUGUUGGGUUAAGUCCCGCAACGAGCGCAACCCUUAUUGCCAGUUACUACGUAAGAGGACUCUGGCGAGACUGCCGUUGACAAAACGGAGGAAGGUGGGGAUGACGUCAAAUCAUCAUGCCCUUUAUGUCCUGGGCUACACACGUACUACAAUGGACAUUAACAGAGGGAAGCAAUACAGCGAUGUGGAGCAAACCCCUAAAAAUGUUCUCAGUUCAGAUUGCAGGCUGCAACCCGCCUGUAUGAAGAUGGAAUUGCUAGUAAUCGCAGAUCAGCAUGCUGCGGUGAAUACGUUCCCGGGCCUUGUACACACCGCCCGUCACACCAUGAGAGUUGGAAAUACCCGAAGCCUGUGAGCUAACCUAAGAGGCAGCAGUCGAAGGUGGAGCUGAUGAUUGGAGUG